GUGGUGACUGGGCUGAGUCAACCAGGUUCUCCCUCAGGAAUGUGAACUAAGACACACUGAAAGAAUGGAGCAGAUAACAGAAAUCUGAAGCUGAGGGAACGUUCUGGGGCAGAGGAGCAACCAUGAUGCCCCAUUCUCAGGGAAAAGUUAUGAGGCAGGAGGAAUUGGAAAAAAACAACAGAGACCCAGAAUAAAGCCCAGAGAGCAGAGAAUUGGGAAAAAAAAUGAGCUAGCUGGAAGAGAGAUACAGACACACCAAAGAGGAAUUUAUUUAGCUAUGUUUCACUCAGAAGAUCCUGUUGACAGCCCGGAUGCACACCGCUGGGCUUUCCUUGAUCAGCCUUCUUCUCUGUUGUGGAAGGAAACGCAGGUGCCUUCUGUA
rnacentral:lncRNA from 1 species